UGGCUGAUAUGUAUAACUUUUACUUAUAUUUGCUGUUCUUUCUUCGGAAUAUCCCUGGACCUCUGAAUCCCAUUUGGCUCAACAUCAUGUCCUAAACUCAACUGAGGAACACCUUUGGACAUUUGUAUCUGGAUUGCCCUCAAGCUUGUUUUUUUGGUAUUCAUUAUGUAGACCUCCAUACUGUAAUUACAGAUGUUUCUAACCAGAACUGUCACCUGGUAGUUCUGUCAAGAGGAGCAGCCAGUCAACGUGCCACCACAUUCCAGCAACUUACCUAGGAGCUGACCACAAACCAAAGUUCCAAGAUCACCUGGACACAAAGAAUCACCUCCUCAUAUUUCUGUAAAUGCUAGUUUAGCUGUACUUGUAAUCCACACUAUUUGGGAGGCUGAGGUAGGAGAAGUACUUAAGUCAAAGAACUGAGUUGACCAUCCUGAACAACAUAAUGUGACCCUAUCUCAACCCAACAAAACAUCAGGAGAGAAAUCCACAGACUUUCUAGUGAUCUUGCUGAGAAAACAGUUUUUAUUGUUAACUGUUAAGGGAUAAUGCCAUUAAUAUUUUAAAUUGAUGCUAUUUUGUUAUUUAAGCCACAAAAAUAUUCAUUCUGAACAAC
rnacentral:lncRNA from 1 species